rnacentral:lncRNA from 7 species
UAUAUAUACUACUAGUACUGCUGCUACAUGGAUAGGUAGUAGAUACCAGAUAGCACCCAGAAAGGCUGCAUGCACGCACGCACGGGCGCACGGCCAUAGUUUGUGUGGACUUACCUUGUUGUAAGCUGUCACAGAGAUGCUUAUCGGAAUGGAAGGUCAGUUCUGUUUUGUUCAGUGGAGUAUAGUAUAUAUAUAUGCCAGAUAUAAUCAGCUGCCAGAACUGCUCUGCUAAUGGCCUGCUGCCUGCGCCAUCGAGAUGCUUAUCCUCAUGGGCAUGGAAUCUUCCAGCAAACUAUGCUAGCUCCCAGAAAGAAAGAAAAAAGAAAAGAAAAA